rnacentral:rRNA from 1 species
UACAGAGGUCUCAAGCGUUGUUCGGAUUCAUUGGGCGUAAAGGGUGCGUAGGCGGCGCGGUAAGUCGGGUGUGAAAUCUCGGAGCUUAACUCCGAAACUGCAUUCGAUACUGCCGUGCUUGAGGACUGGAGAGGAGACUGGAAUUUACGGUGUAGCGGUGAAAUGCGUAGAUAUCGUAAGGAAGACCAGUGGCGAAGGCGGGUCUCUGGACAUCUCCUGACGCUGAGGCGCGAAAGCGUGGGGAGCAAACGGG